rnacentral:rRNA from 1 species
AGCUUGCUGGAGGUAUCAGAAGUGCGAAUGCUGACAUGAGUAACGACAAUGGGUGUGAAAAACACCCACGCCGAAAGACCAAGGGUUCCUGCGCAACGUUAAUCGACGCAGGGUUAGUCGGUUCCUAAGGCGAGGCUGAAAAGCGUAGUCGAUGGGAAACAGGUUAAUAUUCCUGUACUUCUGGUUACUGCGAUGGAGGGACGGAGAAGGCUAGGCCAGCUUGGCGUUGGUUGUCCAAGUUUAAGGUGGUAGGCUGAAAUCUUAGGUAAAUCCGGGGUUUCAAGGCCGAGAGCUGAUGACGAGUCGUCUUUUAGAUGACGAAGUGGUUGAUGCCAUGCUUCCAAGAAAAGCUUCUAAGCUUCAGGUAAUCAGGAACCGUACCCCAAACCGACACAGGUGGUCGGGUAGAGAAUACCAAGGCGCUUGAGAGAACUCGGGUGAAGGAACUAGGCAAAAUGGCACCGUAACUUCGGGAGAAGGUGCGCCGGCUAGGGUGAAGGAUUUACUCCGUAAGCUCUGGCUGGUCGAAGAUACCAGGCCGCUGCGACUGUUUAUUAAAAACACAGCACUCUGCAAACACGAAAGUGGACGUAUAGGGUGUGACGCCUGCCCGGUGCCGGAAGGUUAAUUGAUGGGGUUAGCGCAAGCGAAGCUCUUGAUCGAAGCCCCGGUAAACGGCGGCCGUAACUAUAACGGUCCUAAGGUAGCGAAAUUCCUUGUCGGGUAAGUUCCGACCUGCACGAAUGGCGUAACGAUGGCGGCGCUGUCUCCACCCGAGACUCAGUGAAAUUGAAAUCGCUGUGAAGAUGCAGUGUAUCCGCGGCUAGACGGAAAGACCCCGUGAACCUUUACUGUAGCUUUGCACUGGACUUUGAGCCUGCUUGUGUAGGAUAGGUGGGAGGCUUUGAAGCGUGGACGCCAGUUCGCGUGGAGCCAUCCUUGAAAUACCACCCUGGCAUGCUUGAGGUUCUAACUCUGGUCCGUGAUCCGGAUCGAGGACAGUGUAUGGUGGGCAGUUUGACUGGGGCGGUCUCCUCCUAAAGAGUAACGGAGGAGUACGAAGGUGCGCUCAGACCGGUCGGAAAUCGGUCGCAGAGUAUAAAGGCAAAAGCGCGCUUGACUGCGAGACAGACACGUCGAGCAGGUACGAAAGUAGGUCUUAGUGAUCCGGUGGUUCUGUAUGGAAGGGCCAUCGCUCAACGGAUAAAAGGUACUCCGGGGAUAACAGGCUGAUACCGCCCAAGAGUUCAUAUCGACGGCGGUGUUUGGCACCUCGAUGUCGGCUCAUCACAUCCUGGGGCUGAAGCCGGUCCCAAGGGUAUGGCUGUUCGCCAUUUAAAGUGGUACGCGAGCUGGGUUUAGAACGUCGUGAGACAGUUCGGUCCCUAUCUGCCGUGGACGUUUGAGAUUUGAGAGGGGCUGCUCCUAGUACGAGAGGACCGGAGUGGACGAACCUCUGGUGUUCCGGUUGUCACGCCAGUGGCAUUGCCGGGUAGCUAUGUUCGGAAAAGAUAACCGCUGAAAGCAUCUAAGCGGGAAACUUGCCUCAAGAUGAGAUCUCACUGGGAACUUGAUUCCCCUGAAGGGCCGUCGAAGACUACGACGUUGAUAGGCUGGGUGUGUAAGCGUUGUGAGGCGUUGAGCUAACCAGUACUAAUUGCCCGUGAGGCUUGACCAU